rnacentral:rRNA from 1 species
UACGUAGGGUGCAAGCGUUAAUCGGAAUUACUGGGCGUAAAGCGUGCGCAGGCGGUUUUGUAAGUUUGUCGUGAAAGCCCCGGGCUCAACCUGGGAAUUGCGAUGAAGACUGCAAGGCUUGAAUCUGGCAGAGGGGGGUAGAAUUCCACGUGUAGCAGUGAAAUGCGUAGAGAUGUGGAGGAACACCGAUGGCGAAGGCAGCCCCCUGGGCUGACACUGACGCUCAGGCACGAAAGCGUGGGGAGCAAACAGG